UGCUUGGUAGCCUAGUUGGUUUGUCACUGACCUUGUAUGCCAGAGGUUGCAGGCUCGACCCCGGCCCAAGUCG